AGAGAAGAUCAGAUGAUCGCCGGCGGAUUUUUAUCUGCCGGAGGAAAGUCCGGGCUCCGCAGGGCAGGAUGGUCGCUAACGGCGACCGGGGGUGACCCCAGGGAAAGUGCCACAGAAAAUUACCGCCCGGGCGAAAGCCCGGGUAAGGGUGAAAAGGCGAGGUAAGAGCUCACCGCUUUUCCGGCGACGGAAAAGGCAAGGUAAACCCCAUCCGGAGCAAGACCAAAUAGGAGAACGUUUAAGGGCGGCCCGCCUGAUGUUCUCGGGUAGUGUCGCUAGAGGCGUGAGGCAACUUACGUCCCAGAUGAAUGAUCAUCACCGUUUGUCGGGUAACUGACGCGCGGGACAAAACCCGGCUUAUGCUCUUCUUUCCCG
rnacentral:RNase_P_RNA from 1 species